CGACAGGCUGUCCCCGGAGGAGCUCGAGAACGAGGGACCGGGACCGCGGAGCCAGCGCCGGCCGGAGAGCGCCCAUCCCCGCCGCAGAGAGCGCGGCGCAAUAAGUACCCCCGAAUUUCCGGCAGGGCUAGACAGCAGCGCGUCCUCCGUCCAGUUAAAGGAAACGGCAAAGCGAAAGAGUGACCCCUUGGAGGCGUGUGCUAGGGACUGCGCAAGCUUUUCCUGGUCCCCUAAUAGACACGAUGUUAAGAAGAAAAAGUUAGAGGAUGAUAAAAGGAGAUUAGAUGCAGAAAAAGAUUUUUCUGAAUAUUGUGAAAGUAACCACCAGUUCCUCAGUAACCAAAACACUUCUGAGAGCAAAAAAGAUUUGUUUAGUUUAAACUGUGACCGUAGUAGUAUAAAGUGUGACAUAGCAGACUCUGAAAAGAAUUUCACUGUAACGCUAAGAACUACAAAUCGGGAGGAAGCAGGCACAAACCUGGACAGUUAUGUACCUUCUAGGUUCGAAAAAUCUCCAGGCUGGGACUGUAAUAUGAGACAUAUUUUGAAAAGAAAUAAGCAAAGUUGUUGGGUUAUGAAAAAUUACAAGACUAACAGUGAAAGUAUAAAAAGAUCUAGAGAAAGACUGAAUUUGCUACAAUUACAAGCAAUAGAACUUUUAGGCAAGGAAGAUUAUCACAGUAUAAGAGCCGUGAGUGUGCACGAACAACAGUUAAAGCCUCUGAUGAUAGAAAUGCUAGGUAACCAAAAAUUUUUCAUGAACAUUGUUGGGCUGAAUAGUAAAGGAGAAAAUGAUACUAUGCUGCAGUUGAGAUACCGCACUAUACAAAAAGAUUUUCGUGUAAGCAACAUUUUUCAAAGUUUGAUUACAGAAAUUUUUUAUUUCCAUGAAAGUAUUUCAGGAAAACAAAAGGAUAAUAGAAUUUUAAGCUGGUGUCAAAUUUUGAAGUGCAAAAAUCAAAUCGAUACUAAAAAUCUAAUAACCAGGAGUAUCUAUGUCAACAUAAAGAGUGGCAUUUUAAGCAAAUAUAUACAAAGCAGCGUUUCAGGACAUUUAAAUAGUUUCAAAACCAGCAUAGCUUAUAUGUUCAAUAACUUUGAUGCUCUAGUCGGAAUUGAAGAUGAUUCUGAAUUAGAGGAGGGUUACAUUUUCAAACGGAUAGUGCACUUGAAUUAUUCAAAACUUAUUACAGUGGAAGGUCGUACUAUAUAUAUAAUGAGGACUUUAACUUUUUCAAAACGUUUAAAAGAUAUGAAACCUAUGUUAAAGAAAAGAAAGCCUAUAUUUAAAACCCAACAAAUUGUUGAAGGGUUUAAGAAAGAAAACUUUGAUUCUUUUAGUGCAACAACUAAGAAUCUAUGUUUUUCAAUUUUCAAAACAUAUGAAAAAAUUCCUUUUUUAAUGGACUUUGAUGACAUGGAAGAACUUUCUUUGAUAAAAAAGUCUAGUUAUGAGAAUAUGAGUUGUCUUGAACAACAUACGAAUGUAGACACCUGGGCUCACUGCAGCUUUAGUACUGUUAAAACACAUGUGAAAUCUGCGCCUCAGUUGACACAGAAAAACUAUGGAUGUAUUAGUGCAAAAUGUCAUGAAAUAAGUAUGCACAACCAAAAUUUAGGGACUGAAAGAAAACAGGAUCCUAAGAAGGUCAGCAGCUUUAAUUCUAAGCAUACAUUUGGAAGUUCUUUUAAUGUUAGACAACAGGCUACCCUGGCAAGCCAAAACACAGUGCAUAGUCUACAGAUCAAUAGUAUGACUGUAAAUCAAGUGCUGAAUUUUGAGAGCUUGCAAAGUGAAAUAGAAAGAACUAAAUAUGACUUCAUUUUGAAGAAGGAAGUAAAAGUCACAGCACAGAGUUCAAUACAUAGUUACCAAGUUUGUAUUAAAAUAGAAAAGGAAGAAGAUAGUUUUUUUCCAAAGGAUGGCAUGCUUUCUAUGCAGUCAAUUUCAUUAAGGAGUAAGAAAGUAAGUACGAAAGAAACUAAAUCCGUUAAUCAAAGUAACACAGUGGAAAAAAAUGAAUACCGGAGUAUUUUGCAAGAAAGUGAGUUAGCUAAUUCAAAGCAUUUUCAUCCAAAGAAUGAUGCAACAUUGUAUGUUAAUCAUCAAUUUGAAACUGGUUCAAAUGAAGGGAACAAUGAAUAUCUUCAGAAUUUAACUGCAAAAUGUUUAUCAACAGAAGCUCUAACAAUAGUAAAAGAUUUUGAGAUGAAGAGUAAAUUUGAUUUGGUACUUAAAGAGCUUCGUAUGUUUCAUGAAAUUAGUAAGGAAAAUGAAAUUCCAACCACUGUGGAAACCAACACUGGGCAACAAAAUUACUUUGAGGAAAGUAAUGAUGAUGAGGAGGCCAAAAUUGAGAUAGAAAAAGAUUUGAAACUGGUUACAGCCGACACAGACUGUGCAUCUCCUUUGCCCUGUGAUAUAGUAGCACGUCCUAAUAUUGAUAGAAGACACAAAGGUUUAUUUAAGUGGAAAACAGUACCCAAUAAUGGAGAACAGGAAGUUCCCAAUAUGCAUUGCUGUCCUAGAACAGCAGAGGAAGAAAUAUGCUACUUUACUUCUGAGCAAGAUGGUAAAAAUUCUUUACCUAAAAGAUCUUCUCUAUUGUCUGAUGAAUAUAUGGAAGAAAAAUUUAAUUAUUUACCAAGGGGAGGUAGUCAUUUUUCACAUGGCAUUUCAAGAAUCCAGCCUCUUAAGACGUGCAGCCGACCAAUCAGGAUUGGUUUGUCAAGGAAAGCAAGAUUUAAGCAACUCCAUCCCUACCUGAAAUAAAUGUGUUAUGAGAGUUUAAAAGAAGAUUUUGGACUUUUGAAAUAAUAUCCAGAAAUAUUUUAUGUCUUUCUUUGGAUAAAUGCUUUCUUUCAGUUUGGGGGGACUUUUCAGUUUGCAGCUUUCUUUGUUAUAAAAUGUGGAAAGGUUAUUUCGUGUCUGAAAUAUUACCUUUAAAAGUUAGGAAAUACUUUAUUAAUAUUUUCAUAUAUAAUCAGUGUGUAUUAAUGUCUUCAUGAUCUUAUAAAAUGUGUUUAUUUUUAUGAUGCAUGCAUAUGAUCUUUCUGUGGAGAUGACUGAUAACUUUUACAGAUUUUUCAAGGGACUCAUGGCUCAGAAGAAAGUAAUGAGCUACUGUUGGAAUCCAGUCUCUCCAUUUUUCAGGUGAACAGGGAGAAGUGAGGUUUUUCCAAGUGAGCUUCCCAGGUCACAGGGUUGACGUAGGAUUGGGGUGGAGGUGCUUUUGUCUGAAGAAUCUUCUCUAAUCUUUCUCAUUCCAUGUUUUCCAUUCUCCCUCUUGGUACUGGACACUGAAUCCAGGGCCCUCACACAGAGAGCUACAUCUCAGGCCUUAAUUCUUUUUUAUU
ensembl:lincRNA RAD51 associated protein 2